CGUAGGGUGCAAGCGUUAAUCGGAAUUACUGGGCGUAAAGCGUGCGCAGGCGGUUUUAUAAGUCUGAUGUGAAAUCCCCGGGCUCAACCUGGGAACUGCAUUGGAGACUGUAAGGCUAGAGUGUGUCAGAGGGGGGUAGAAUUCCACGUGUAGCAGUGAAAUGCGUAGAUAUGUGGAGGAAUACCGAUGGCGAAGGCAGCCCCCUGGGAUAACACUGACGCUCAUGCACGAAAGCGUGGGGAGCAAACAGGAUUAGAUACCCUGGUAGUCCACGCCCUAAACGAUGUCUACUAGUUGUCGGGUCUUAAUUGACUUGGUAACGCAGCUAACGCGUGAAGUAGACCGCCUGGGGAGUACGGUCGCGAGAUUA
rnacentral:rRNA from 1 species